rnacentral:rRNA from 1 species
UACAGAGGUCCCAAGCGUUGUUCGGAUUCACUGGGCGUAAAGGGUGCGUAGGUGGUGAGGUAAGUCGGAUGUGAAAUCUCCGAGCUCAACUCGGAAAUGGCAUUGGAAACUACCUUGCUCGAGGGUUGGAGGGGGGACUGGAAUGCUUGGUGUAGCAGUGAAAUGCGUAGAUAUCAAGCGGAACACCAGUGGCGAAGGCGGCUCACUGGCCCGGUACUGACGCUGAGGUGCGAAAGCGUGGGGAGCAAACAGG